rnacentral:lncRNA from 1 species
CACUAGUGUACGGCAUUUUUAAGUCAUGCAGACAGGGUUAUGCGGUGGAGUAAUCCAUGAUGGAGGAGCAACUAUUUUCUUUAAUCAGGAAAAAAAGUAAUUUUUUUCCCUUGACGUAUUUAUGAUAUUUUGGAAUUAUUUAUUUGCAUAAAAUGUAUAAUAUAGUUAGUUAGUGGGUAAUUAGUUUGGGUGCGAUUAUAUCUAUAUCUAUUCUCAUAAGGUUUGUCAGAUUAUUAACUGGUUAAUCCAUCUGGAUUAUCUGCAUCCGAUCCAUCUGAAGGCAUCUUUUCCAUAUGUUAAGCAUCGUAUUCUUACAAAAAAAAGUAGAAAAAAAGGGUACCCACAGUGACCUUGGAAGAUGUGGGCACGUCUUCAGAUAUUUUUGGGUACGAGGGCUCCUGGCCCGUGCUUUGUGCGACAAUGGGAAGGAGAAAAGUCGUGCAUGUGACAUUGGGUAGGGCCCGUGGGAGCCGCGGCCGGCCGAAAGGAUAGGGUUUGAACAGGUCCAUCUGACGCCAAAUUGAGUGCCAACAAUUGCAAAAAAAAAAAAAAAAAAAAGAAAGAUAAUUAGGUACCUGCCACCUCCGUGCCAACUUGCGAGUCUGUUCACGUUUUUGUUAUCGCUUUUGGUGACACAAUUUCUAUUUUCAUAUUCUGUAGCCGGUGGUGCGCCGCUCGAGGUUAUGUGGUGCUUUAAGUUUUUUACAUCUUACACUUUUAAAAAGUUUGGUCUAUGGAUUUGGUCGAUACUGUAAUCUUUUCAUUUACCUACUUGCUAAGAGAUCAAAUAAUUUCGGAUAAUGACUGGAGAGCAAAUUUUUUUUUUUUUGGAAACAUGCAAGUGGUAACGUGUCCUACAGAAAAAAUAAUUCAGCUCAAGAUAUACAACCCAUCAUUCUCGUUCCCGUUCUUUGAAAAUAUAAAAAAGAAAGCCCUCUUCUGCAUAGAUUCUAUAAUUCCAUCUGAGUAAUCUUUCUUUUUCGUGCUCAACCACCAAAAAAAUGAUUCCCACACUGAUCAUUUUCGUAACUAAAAGGAUGCUUUUAGUUCACCAUCGGAAUUAGAAUUGAAGACAAUUUUGAUUUGCCGCUAGAAUCAGAAUCAAAAUAUGGUUCGAAGGAAAAUAAAAUUCUUAUCAAGCGAAUAAAAGCCAUUCAUUCUCAUUCCUAUUCCAAAGCUUAAAUGCUCCCAACCAACAUGCCUUAAGUUGCUAAUAUAACUAUUUAGCAAAAUUCUGCACACAACUGGAACAGGAACUUACGAUCUAAUGAAAGAGAUUGAUUCCUCUUGAGCAAUUUGAGAUGCAAUAAAAGUAUGCCCUGCCUGAGUGACCACAUGAAAAUGUGAUAUAAAUGGGCAUUUUUGAAUUUAUGAACCAAAGUAUUUCACUACAACAGUCUAAUUUACAAACAACUAUGUACAAAGAAAUGCCUUGCAAAAUUGCCGAAAAGUUUAUUCACUGGCUGGCUAUACCGUACCCUCUGCAACGCUGAUCUACAAGGUUGCCUGCUUCUACGCCAAAACCGCAAAAAAAUUAACUUAUCUCAACUUCAACUCCAUGAAAGAAUAGAAUAAAGUACUGAAGGGAAUGACUGUAGCCGCUCUAUUUCCACCAGGUGCCAACGAGAAUAUGGUCCAUGUAGAUUUCUUUGAUACAAAAUCACUUGACAUAAUCUGGAGAAUCUGAACUUAGUAACAUAACAAAAUGGUCCUCUUCAACAUUCUUCAAUGUAUCAGCAGAUCCUCUAUUAAUGUACCAAGAUAUGGAAGCUGUGUCCAGUAAAGCGACAUGUUAGAUUAAAACAUGUAGACUGAGAAAUCAUAAUAUCUUUUUUAAAUAUUCAAAUAAGCAUUCCUGGAAUUAUGCCUCCAGCAGCCUAUACUACAAACAAUGAAUGAUGUGUUUAGUUUUAGCUAGUUAUUGUUGAAGAGGUACAAGCUUUUGGACACUGUUUAAUCAGAGCAUAUACAAGCUUUCUGAAACAUUGCAAGGAAGAUGAUGUAGAACUCGCAGCGGUUAACUGUUGCUCUCUAUGAACAAUUAAGUUGAGAGAUCUUGCGGCCAGGAGGGUGACAUGAAUUUUAGAGAUGCGUGAUGAACUGUGUCCAAGUGAUAAAAAAAGAUAUGACCAGAUCUGAAAGAGGUGUAGCAUUUAUGAAAAAUAGGAUUGCUGUCCAAUUAAGGCAUGCUUUUCUGAAGACUGACAAAGUAAAUACAAGGGAAUGUUCCAUCCAGACAAACAAAAUCCUAAGAAAGGCUAUGUUGAUACGAGUUUUAGUCAAAAAAAGAGAGAGGAGACCCAGAUUUGGAGCAAAUAGUCACUAUUUCAUAACUAAGAAGGUUGAAUGAGCAAUCUUUGAAAAACCAUAUCCAUAAUCCAAGAGAAGCACUCUCAAUGGUCUGGACAUGGUGGCUCCAUUUUGUGGUUAAAGGGGAAGAAAGGAAAAAGGUAGGGCAAGAGAGAUGACACAACGAAACCCUGAUCCUGGUCCUUCUAAAGAUUUUAAAUGCAGCAUUCAAAACUGGUUCCAUAAAAUCAGUUCCACAUAUUAAUGCUAUUUUACCUGCUGCAGGAGCCAUUUCCUGCUCUCUGGCUGUAUGCAAUAAGACUGUCCCGGAGAGAACUGUUAUAAACCCACACAAUUCAGAAGCUAUAUCGCUUACAUCUUGACCAGACCAAUCCUGUAGCCAUUGAGAAAAGGGUAAGAAACAAACCUUAGCCAAAGCAUUUCAAUACAUACGUACAUACAACAUUAGUCAAAACAUACCUUGAACAUUAUUGCACUUGCCACUAUCGUGAGAGUGGUGAACAUAACAUAGUAAAUUGGGGAGACAAUUGCUGUAUUGAAGGUAUCCAGUGCCUGAGGGAGGUAACAGGUAAAAUUCAUUAAAUUGUAAAGGAUGCUGAUACUUGCGCUGAUAAAACUGCAUAAACAAUCACUUGAUGAAUUGUAUACAACAAUUGCAAACCACAGGUAUGCCAUCUGACAUGCAAUGGAUGUAUUUUUGUCAAGCAUGCAUUCCAAGAACAUAAUGGAUCUAUUCCAUCUGAAACAGGGUGAUUCCUUUCCAUGGUAAGCUAUGCAGAAUCUGAUAAAGAAAGAUUGCCAAAAUAUUGUUAACAGCUCCUUUGAAGUGCAGUAGCACUACCUUUUUAGUAUGUACCACUUCAUUUCUUAACUGAUUAUUCCUUUAACCACAAGUCAGCAACAAAUAUAAUUAUGAGUAAUCCUUCUUUUGGGAAGAAGAGAUAUCGCCUCUCUGUCCCUGUAUCAUCCUUGUGGUUUGUGAUGGAGCCCAGCAUUUAUAAAUAGAUUUAAUGCAUGUUAAUUGUUUUUGUUGGAACAAAAAAAGUGGAGCCAAAACUCUACUUUCAAAAUUUAACCAACAAAAUUGAAGAUUUAUGUACAUGAAGAUACAUGAGCUCAAUUACGUCAUGGAAAGUUAAAAUUAAUUAUCUUAAGGACAAGUGGCAUUCCACGUUCUGGACCAGAAGUGUCAGUCAAACCAACAUAUGCAUCAAAAGGGAUUCUGAUAUGCAGAAUGUAUGGUCAGAGGAUUAAUACCCUAGGGCAAUGAACUAGUGUGAACUCAUUAAAGCUACAAAGUUCAUACAGCUCUGGCAAUUGCCCUCAGCAGCACAGCAUGUGGCAUGAGAGCUUAUGUAGAACUCUUGAAAUACUUUAAUCAAAUGUACAAUGCACCCAGCCUUACAUGCUUCCUCAUGCAGGCAUAUUUGUUGAAAACAACCGGAUGGAAGAAACAGUACGAUGCACAAAAUAGCUUCAAGAUUUUUAGCUAUGGAGAGAUGCUGAUAUUUAGUAAUUAAUCGAAUGCCAUUUGAUGGUAAAACGUGCCACGGUGAUGUUCUGCAAUCAUUUUAUAAAGGCACAGAAAGAAUUUUAAUUAAAGGGACAGAGAGAGACAGAGAGGGAAAAUUUGUUGAACAAUGCCAACUAGUCACACAGGUAACAAUGAUGAGCAUUAAAGAGAAAAUAUGCAGAAAAAAAGGAAGGUGAAAUUUAAGAUUGUAUUUCUCAGGACAAAGUAAGAAUUCAUAAUACAGGACAAGGUAUCAUUCGCCGAACCAUCCCGAAUCGGACGGUUUAGGCCGUGCCGAACCAUACCGGCAAGAUACCAAACCAUACCAGCAAGAUACCGAUCCAGUUCCAAAAAAUAGCACAGCAGCCAUCUCGGAGGGAGGGAAAAGAAAGAGAAAGAGAGAGAGAGAGGGAGAGAAGAGAAAGAGGAAGAGAGGGCCUCCGACCGCUGUCGGAGCUCUUUCCGAGCUCGAUAAGGACGAAGGGAGGAAAGAAGAAAGGAUGAGACCUCACCAGAGCACUAAAGGCCCUCAAAGGCCUUGGACGGAUGGCAAUGCCACCGCGAGCUCUUUGAUGGCCGGCGAGCCAGCACCGAGAGAGCGGAGUUCAGCCGAGGUCAGAGGAGGGUUUACCCUUGUUUCUUUUCUUUUUUUUUUUUGAGUUUUAACGGGCAAAGGGGGCAACUGUGUUGCCGACUUUAUUCUUUUUUUUUUUUUAAUUCAGCUGAAGUGGGCCAAUGGACUUCACCUUAUUUUUAAUGCAGUUGCCAACAUCGUCCGCUAAAAAUAAAAAAAAAAAAAUCAAAACAUGGGCGAAUCCCUAUUUCAAACUGGAAGGCGAAGGCCCUCCUCCAGCCUCAGCCACCCUCCGUUUUCUUGGCGCUGGCUCGCCAGCCGUCGGAGAGCUCGCGGCGACAUCGCCGCCCGUCCGAAGGCCUCCAAUAAUUCGGUGAGGUCUCCCUCUCUCUCUUUUUCCCUCCCUCCACCCUUAUCAAGCUCGAAAAUGGCUCCGACGGCCUCCAACGGCUGUCGAAGGCUCUCUCUUCCUCUCUCCCCCCUCUCCCUCUUCUUCUCCCCCUUUCUCUUCCUCUCUUUCUUCUCCCUCUCCCCUUCUCUCCCCUGUUAGUUUGUGCCAGUCCGGUCCGGUACGGACCUGUAUCGAUUCAUACCGCCGACCAACCGGCACGGGUCCCGAUUCCGGCUCCGGGAACCUUGGGACAAGGAAAUAAAAAGAAAUUAAGGGGCUUCAGAAGUAGCAUAGACAAGACAUUAGAAAUGAUACUAAGCCAUGCAGAAUAAAGGUCUGAUGGGGCAUAACAUAUUUUGAUGGAAAGAAUUAAAAAAAAAAUGAAUAGAUCAAAGAGGAAAUUGUGCAAGCUGUACACAUAGAGGUGAAGUUUUAAAAUAAAUGCCAAUCCAAUGUAAUGCGAUGGCACUUAUUAAUCAAGGACAUUAAGAACAAAUAAGAUAUGGAUUGAAGUAGUUAUAUAUCUGGAAAGACCAAGAAGUAGCAGUAUCAAUGAGAAUAGAGUGAUCAUGAAUUGAUUUUUAAAUACAUUUGGAGAUACCAAGGAAUUCAUGUGUCACAAUUACCAAAGAAGGAAAAGUAGUAGGAAAAAGUGCGAGUAAAAAUUUAUUUCCAAUCAGAAAGGAAUUAGGAACUAAUUUACAAAAUGAAAAAUUGGUUUCUGUUUAAAAGAAAAGAGGAAAAGGUAGGAUAGGAAUCAUAAAUAUAUUUCUAUUUGCCUCAUAAUAAAUCAUACUUAUACCAAAUGAAAAUAGGCGGUGACUUAGAUAAAUGUAAAGGAAGUUGAAGUUUGAAAAUGCAAAUAAAUACGAAACAUAGAGUGAUGUAUAAGUCAAAACAUAACUGAUAUAUCAGUCUCAUGACCAGAUAAAUCCGAUGGGCUGGUGCUGAGUUGGGAACCAUUUAUGAAGGAGCUCAAGUAAGGGAAUAUAUCAUGAUUCAAUUUAAAUAUAUCAUGUGUGUGUGCAUAUGUGAAUCCGUAAAUGCGUGCAAGUGUUUGCAUGUCUGCUGUAAGUGAAAGGUAUAGAACUGAAAGUUAUGAACAUUACAAGUCACCCGUAACAGCUAAAAAGAUGCACGGAUGCACACACAUGUAUGCAUGCAUGUAUGUAUACGCUUAGCUUUAAGCUUAUUUAAUUUCAUCUUUUCAAUGAGGAUGGCCUUAACACCAUGAGAAGUUCAAAUAAGAAAUAUAAGAACAAGAUUUUUAUCCAUUCUAAUAUGACAGUCCAAUUGCACAUGUGGAUAUGACGUCAAAUUUAGCAAUUCUUGUCAGAGAAAUGAUUUGACUACUUUUAUAAUUGAAAUCACAACCAUAUAUAGGAAGGUUAGAGCCUGGCAAAAAAACUAAUAUCUCCUGCAGCUUGCUGCUCUUCUCAUAAUUGUAAAUUGAUUUCUACCAAGAGGAAAUUGCAUAUCUCAUAUCAAACAAGGAUAAUGAAAACUCAAGAAAGUUGUAGACUUUAGUUCUAAAUGCUGUUAAUUCUCGGGUUCAAGAUAUUUUUAUCGCUUUCAAGAGAAGGUGGCCCUACAAACAAUUUUGAUAGGUCAGCACUUGUUGAAUGGACAUCUCUAAUCUCAAACCCAGACAAGGCACUUCAAACUAAAUGGAUCAAAGCCACCUCUUCAUGUUGUGGAACUUAAUUGUGAAGGUGGAUGUAGAGGUAGCGUGUGUCUGGUGAUGGCAGUGUUAUAAGGGACACCACAGGCAGAUUAAUUUUUACAUCCUUUCAUGGGUUCGAAUCCAAUGUUUUUAGUGAAAUGAGUGUCCUUCUCUUGAUGUUUGAAACUUUGAACCCAAGGAGGCUUCUCUUCUAUCAUUUUGGAAUCUAAUACUCAAAUACUGGUUGAUGUUCUGUAUCAUAUUCCCUCGAAGCUUUGCUAACUGGUUCAGAAAUUCAGGUUGCUGACAUAAAAUCUAUAUGGUGGUUCAAUGUAUUUAAAGAACGCAAUUUGGCUAAGGAUGGCAAAUAUAGCUUGUGAUAUCCAAGAAAUUCGUGUUCUCAGAUCGUUAGCCCACUUCCAGCUGUCACAAAAUGUUCUCUAACACUGGAUCAGAUGGGCUUUCAGUAACCUAGGUUCAUGUUUGUUAAGAUCUCCCUCUAGUAACCUAAUGGGCUUUCUUUGCUUUCGUUAUAUUUAUUUUUUUCUUCUUUUUAACCCUCUUUUUAUUUAAAUAGUCCAUGCUAAACACUCACCCAGGACAUGGUUAUUUUACUAAAAAAGAAAAAAAGAUAAGAGUAUAAACCAGAUAUAGAGAGAUAGCUGCAGGUAAAACUGAUUUCAGCCAUGAGUAUAUAUAAAGCAGAUCAUAGAAAAAAAAAAAGGAGAAACAAGAACUAAAGCAUGUACAAAGUAAUAAUACUUUAUGGUAUCAUGUAGAGCCUUCCAUGCUAAAACAAAUUAAUUUUGAAAAUAAAAGUCUACAAAUAUCACCCUUAACUGAAUUUCAUUAAUAAAUUACCAUCAUCUGGCAUGAUAUAAAGCAACCAUAAGUAGUCAUAUUAUAUACUGCAAACCUGGUUCAAUCAAGUAACCAGAGACAACCUCUGCAAAUAUGAACAGAAUAAGAUAAAUAAAAAAAAAUAAAUCAAAGGUAACCACCUACAGAGACGUUAGAUAUAGGCAUAAUUAGAAAAUGGUUCCGCACAUAAAGCUUGGAAAGUAAUAAUCAUAUAAAAAUAAAAAUACACAUUAAGAUUGUCAACAAGCAAGUCUUAUGAGUGUUUUCCUUUCAAGUUGGUAUAAGAACAUAAUAACAACCUCAUAUGGACUUGAUAGAUAAUGUAAAUUUUGUGAAAAUUCAAUUGCAAUGGCAGUCUGGAGGAUUGCAGGUUAAAAUGACUAUAGUAGGAUAAAAUAUCAAGAAAAAGUUCUUAUCAGGAAAAAGGCCUGUAGGCCAUGGCUUAUCUUUUUAACUAAUGGAGACAUCAAAUAUGAAUAACAAGAUCCAACAAAAUGCAUAUUGUAGAAACCUUGUUCAAGUAAUUCAAUUGAGCGAUGACACAAACGACAGCAACUGUGACAAAUAGCCAUGUCUGUGGAUAAGCAAUCUGACUCAUUCCCUCCAAUGUAAGUUUUAUUGCAAUUCCAAUGGCCUUGAUGCUAACAACCUGUGCACCCCCAUUAAGCAAAAAGAAAUGGAGCUUGAGAAUGGAACAAGAUAAGAAGAAAGUUUUUACCACAGUUAUGAGUGCCAAAAAUUCUGAUAACUGAGUGCAUGUGAUUCACAAUAACCAGCUCAAGGAAAAACAAUUUACCGUCAGUGAGCCCAUUAGAGAGCAGAUGCCAAGGUAAACCAAUAUGUUGGUCUGUCCAUAACGAGGUUCAAAGUGUAGUACUAAUGCCAAUACAAUUGAUAAUGUAGCUCCAGAGUAAACUAAAAAUGCUGCAAACAGGACAAAUGCAAGAAAAGAAAUUAAUUAUAAUGCAGAACUGCCUGGGUAUUUGACAAACAGUAUAGUGAAGACAAAAGAGAACAACAAUUGUCUGCGAUACCAGGUUGAGUAGCUAGAUUCCAAAUUUCUUCUACAGAACUCGGAGAAUGCUCCUGAGGUGCGUGAAUUAUGAUAACAACUGAGCCAACGAUACAGGACACACACCCCAAAACACCUAGUUUCUGUAAUCGUUCUUUCAGCAUGAAGUGUGCCAAAACAGCACUAUUUGGUCCAUCAAAAACAUAAAUUCUCAAAAUCAGUAGACCCAAUUAGAUAUAUUAAGCACAGAAAACUGUUUUCUUAGUUUUACCUGACAAUAAUACUCAAUGCACCAAGAGGAGUUACAAGAACUGCAGGGGCAAAAACAUAAGCCACAAAAUUUGCCACCUCACCUAUCAUCACUGGUUGUAAAGAAACUUGACUUUCAGAUAAAGAAAUUUUGCCCCUCUAACCACCAUUAAUAUUGUUUUUGGAAAAAAAAAAAGCAUGUGAAUAUAAUAAUUUUGUGACUCAAAAUCUACAAAUAGCUUACUUGUUAGCAUGCCAGCCCACCACAAAGGCUCUAAUAGGUAUGCAUACCCUCCAAAACCUACGGUAUAAAAGGAAUAAGGCAAUAACCAGAAAACAAAGUUAAAAAUGCAUAGGAAAGAAGUGAAGUCUUCCGAGUAUAAUCACAUAGAAGAUCAGAAGAUCUUGAAAAUCAGUAAGUUCCUAGAUGGAAAUAACCCAACGUAUUGCUUUUUUUUUUUUUUUAUGUUUCAAAGUUCAUGAUAAUUCUAAGCCAAAGAAAGUAAAUAAAAGACAACAAAUGAAAAAAGAAUAUCAAUUUGGUAUUUUCCACCAACAAAUGAUGUUUACCUAGUAAAAUUUGCUUACUCCUGCAACACCUAAACAAUAAGAUGGAAACAAAGAUAUGGCAGUUUUUCUCUGACUCCAAACCGAAAUUUGAAGCUUAUUAAGAACACAUAAGGCGAUUGUAUCCUCACACCAUCUCAACCUCAUGAAAGAAUGGAAGCCACAAUGAAAGAAAAUAAGAA